AGCGAACGCUGGCGGCAGGCCUAACACAUGCAAGUCGAACGAAGUCUUCGGACUUAGUGGCGGACGGGUGAGUAACACGUGGGAACGUGCCUUUAGGUUCGGAAUAACUCAGGGAAACUUGUGCUAAUACCGAAUGUGCCCUUCGGGGGAAAGAUUUAUCGCCUUUAGAGCGGCCCGCGUCUGAUUAGCUAGUUGGUGAGGUAAAGGCUCACCAAGGCGACGAUCAGUAGCUGGUCUGAGAGGAUGAUCAGCCACAUUGGGACUGAGACACGGCCCAAACUCCUACGGGAGGCAGCAGUGGGGAAUCUUGCGCAAUGGGCGAAAGCCUGACGCAGCCAUGCCGCGUGAAUGAUGAAGGUCUUAGGAUUGUAAAAUUCUUUCACCGGGGACGAUAAUGACGGUACCCGGAGAAGAAGCCCCGGCUAACUUCGUGCCAGCCGCCGCAGUAA
rnacentral:rRNA from 1 species